GGCUGGAAUAGGGUGUGUGUGUGUGUGUGUGACACCUACAUCUCCAGUGUGAAGUUCACAGACAUUAAUACAGUAACUGCCCACUCCCCUCAUCUAAAGACAUCUAAUUACAAGAAUACACAGGUGUGAGACUGCAGCUUUAUUCACAGCGCGGUGUAAAGUUACAAACAACACAAGGUUCACAUAGCACAUGCCUGCCUAAAAGAUGUCUCCUUAGUCCUGAUUAUAUAUCCCUCGUGUUACUCUUUAGAAGCAAAAGUUAAGUGACAUUCAUAGGAACACAGGUACAGAAAAAGAAGAGCAUUUCAAUGGGAAAAGAAAACGUAUCUCAACUAAGCACAUUAAAACUCAAAAUUAUCCCACAACUUCCUCAUGAAAGUACGUACAGUAUAAUAGAAACAGUCACAGCCAAACAAAAAAAGGGAUUAAUGUAAGAUAAUAAAAAAAAAUAAUUGAGGUUUCAGGCAUCCUGUAGCUCCAGUGCAGUUGAUGGAGGCUACAAGGACUGGCUGGUUGAAGCAGAGUGAACACUAUGAGCCUUAGGGAAAAGAAAGAGAACACCACAUUUAUGGGUUUCCAUUAACACCAAACUGACUCUGAAAUGCUCAUGUGUGUUUUACUCACAGAGGUGUUUGGUUUGCCCUGGGGAUCACCUGAGAGGCAGAGACAUGGACAUGAAUCAGUCAGAGAUACAGUAAAGCAGAGAGUGUGUAGAUCAGUGUGUAUCUCCAGUGGCUGAGACAGAUUGAGUUUACAUGUAAUCAAUCAGAGUAAGAUAAACAUCAGUAGAGUAAAACGUGUGUAGAUCAGUGUGUACUCUGGAGAUCACCUGAGGGAGAAGAGUGUGUGUGUGUGAGAGAGAGAGAGAGAGAGAAAGAGUGAUAAAGAGAGAAAAUAAAGAAACAGAGAGGGCGGAAAAACACCCACCAGGAACUUCUGUGCAAAGGCCACAGCAGUUUGAGGAAGUAGCUUUAAGACUGCAAAGGCCUCUACUGUGGCUUAUCAGGUAAUUCCAGAUCAGUUUUUUU
ensembl:lncRNA